ACAAAAGAAGCACUGUGUAUAGUCUCAAAUAGCUGAAGGUACAAUGGGCUCCAUAUUUUACAAAGUACAAAAAAUUAUUUCAUAUACAAAGAAAAAUACAAAUAAUGUGCAAAAACCAUUUUCACAGGUGGCAAUUUAUAAAAUGGAAAUGAUAGAAAAGUCCUUCAUUCUUAAUUAUCCCCGAAUUUCUUAUAUAUUAACACAGUUCUAUUUCCUAGUGUGUAGACAAUUUUAAAUUUGAAAUUCUGAUUUAUUUUUAAUCUACAAAGUAUUUUUAUUUUUUAAAAGGGAACCAUUUCAUUAUUGAAAUCUUAUGAAUGCAUCAGUUAAUUUAUAUUAAAUUAUAAGCAGGCUAUCUGAAAAACAAGGAUAUAGAAAUCAUAUAUACACAUUUUUGAAAUAUUAGUUUAGUAUUUAACAUAUUAACAUUUCAAAACAAAUGCAAUGAUCUAGCUACCUAUGACGCCAGCUGGUGUCAGUGGUUGUAGCGAAGAUGCUGUUUCUGUUUGUUUACCAUGAGCAAACAGCAUUUCUUGGGUCUUAAGCUAAACAAUCACAAGUUAUCAAAGUAAAGAAAAUCUAAAGACAGUUCUUACUUUUCAUGUGUAGAAGUGUAGUUUGGGUAUCCAGUCAUGCCACAGUGUGACUGUGGUCAACACAGCCCUUGUCACAGGUGCGUAUGGUCCUAAAUAGCUGGCCUCUGUCUUUCCAACAUCUUCACUUCAUUGGGAAUUCAGUGCAAGUGUUUGUUUUGUGAGUUAGUGCAUUCAGCUUUUUUUGCAUGUUAUUUUGAAAAAGAAACUGUCAGGAAGCAGAAGAUACAUAAGAACACAAGGCUCUGGAUCCUCAGAGCACCUCUGGUCUAGAGAAUUCAGUGUUUUGGAAGUAGUGUUUUCCUGCAUUGGGCUGGUCAUUGUUGUACCAUUCCCUGGAUAAUCUUUUUCCAUCAGAAUAAUGCUGUGUGCUCCCUCUUUGCCUGCUACUGAACAAUGACGUCUCUUGUUGUGAACCCCACUGGCAGAGCACGGACCAUGGAAGCAUCUUUUGGCAGCACCAGAGAACUGAGCAUCUCAAAGGUCAGGCAUUACAAGUAGAUGUCUCUCAUAGGAAACCUAAUCCAGGUAGAAUAUGAGACAAUCUUGGAGGGUUUUGAUUUUUGCUUGUUAAACAGGUCUCCAAGGAAAUUAUGACCUCAGAGAACAAAAAAGGAUCUAUAGCUUUCAUGAAGAAGGACGCAAGUAGGUGGUAGCCAUUUUGCCUGGGUGAGGUUCACAGUUGGCUCAGGAGACAUCUUCUGAUCAUUAACCACUAAGACCCUGUUAGAAAAAUUUAGUGCAAGAUACAGGGAGUGCAUGGGGCUGUUGACCAGACCUGUGUGAAACACCUGUUCAGGUUAAGUAGAUAUAGCAACCCCUGCAAGAGGGGACUGGGCAGGAGAACCUCAGGCCCCGGGAUAACUUGUUGUCAGCUCCUCAAGGAUCCAUGCUUCUUUUUCUAUCUGGCAGCAUGAGUUCUUCUGUUUCUUCUGCGUGGGUUGACCAUGGGCAUCAGGCAUCAGAGAUACAACUCUGGAUUUUGUCCAUCCAUUGCUGGGCACUCUGUCCAUCCUGGGCGCAGAAGUUAUACACACGUUUGCUGGUCUUGAGCUACAAAACCAAAUGACAGUGAACCAGAGAUGAAAGGCAGGGCUGUUUUAUGGAUUUGGGCAUGGUAUGAGCAGGGCUAAGUGGAAAAAACUGUAUCUUUCAUGUUAAAGAAGUCCAGAAGACUGACCUCUGGGGAAAGACUGCUGCUUUCUGCUGGGAUUACCACAUCUGUGAGGCUUGGAAUGAUCAGUAGCCAUCCUUUGUGCCAUGUUGGGACUGACAUAACACAGAGAGAGGGCAAAGCAGAGCCGGGAAGUGGAUAGAAGAUACUGUGUGAGAAGCUAGCAUACCCUUGGCUGUCCUAGCUUAUGAGUCUACUGCUAAGAUUUCAGCAUGUCCUGUGGCUGAGUUAAUCAGAGUUAUGACAGGAAGGUACCGGGCACACCAUCGCAGUGCUCCAUCAAUGCUAGUAUGUUGUGUUCUUUCCUUCAUAUCAAGUCAACUCAAGCUUGCUCUACUUACCUGGUGUACACAGUCUAAGAACUGUAAGAAGACUGGAGCAAAACCACUCCCCUGACAGUUGAGGGUCAAGCUGCUCCUCUGACUGAAUUUGUGACCAAAAGAGAGCCACUCUUUUUCAACCAACAUCCGGAAGCCUUCAAGUGUCCUAUAAAAGGGAUCACUGAGUAACUGAACCAGGGAUGUCACCUAGGGCAUAAGCAGGAUGGAUUGUCAUUAAUUUUAGUUCUGAAAAAGUCCUAUUACUAAGAUAAAAACACUUCCUUCUGAUGAUAGCUAAUUCACAAAUUUACCUGGACAGCAAAUUUGUUCACUAACCAUUCCAGGAUGGCCAAUAAAAUUAAUUUUGUAAACUUGCCAGUAAAAACUAAAGCUCAAAUUCAUUUUGGCUACAGGUUUACUUUCAGGGAAUUAAGACUUUAAUCCUUAACUGGCCAGUUUGCUGACAGCAACCUUUUCCUAAGUUAAUCAGAGGCCAGAGGAUCAGUUAAAAUCAUUUCUACUUUUUGGCAGAUGCAGAUUAAUGUCUUAAUGUAGUCUGAACUCACACUUUUCACUCUGGAGUGAGUUAAGGCGGGGCUUAUAGAGAGCCAGGGGAUGGACUGACAAAACCCAGGAAGGAUGGUCCGCGCCUCACACUGCUGGUCAAGGGCUCCAUCCGCAAGCCUGCAUGGUACAUCUGUGGAUGGGAGAGCCUGAUGCCCGGAGCCAGAGCUCCAGGCUGCGUAGGGGCUAAGAGCUCAUGGUACGGAGUUUUCUGAUGGCUACCAGGUGCUGUUUAACACAGGACUUUCUCUGUCCAUAAACACAUUAGUCAUUAUACAAAAGAGUCAUCUGAAGAAUUUAAAAACGACCAAAUGGAAAUAUAAAUAUAAAAUAUCAAAAAAUAUGUCUAAUAGUUUACUUGUGCAGUGAUGUCCCAGCCUUCCUCCAAACAGACCAAAACUGAGGAACCAUUCUCAAGUACUUCUGAUACAACCACAGCCAGCUGCAUUAUCCUGUGAAGCUAAGAGACAGGAAGGAGAACACAAUUAGACCAAGAGCUUUCUGAGUGCAGAAGUCAGAGAGAGUUGCUUUCAACCCUGGAUAAUCAAACGACUUAGGGAUAAAGCGCUUGCACAAAAGGACCACAUAAUGUUUUAAAUACCUAAAGUUCUUUCAAAUCAAGAUUAAGCAAUGACACUUUUGUCUGGAUGCAGUGACUCAUGCCCAUAAUCCCAGCACUUUGGGAGGCCGAGCCGGGCAGGUCAUUUGAGGUUCGGAGUUCGAGACCAGCCUGGGCAACACAGUAAGACCCCAUCUCAAUGAAAACAACAACAAAAUGGCACUUCAAAAAAGUAGACACAUUUUAAAACAAUACAUUCUAGUAAUACAUAGUGAAAUAAAAUUACCUUACAUGAUUCCCCCAAAAGUAGGUGAGCUAUAAUUCCAUAGAGUACAAAAAACAGAGAUUCUAUGUGGACUUCCCAACAAAAGACGGAAAUUCAGAUGAAUUUUAUUGGAUUUAAAAUUUGUUUUUCCAUGAUGUAGUAAGUUCUGUUCCAGAUAUUGGGUUUUUUUUUUUUUUUUUUGAGACAAAGUCUCGCUCUGUCACCCAGGCUGGAGUGCAGUGAUGCAAUCCUGGCUAACCACAACCUCUGCCCCCCGGGUUCAAGCGAUUCUCCUGCCUCAGCCUCCCGAGUAGCUGGGAUUACAGGUGCAUACCAGUGCACCCGGCUAAUUUUUUGUAUUUUCAGUAGAGACGAGGUUUCACCAUGUUGGCCAGGCUAGUCUUGAACUCCUGACCUCAGGUAAUCCACCCGCCUCAGCCUCCCAAAGUGCUAGCAUUACAGGCGUGAACCACCACGCCUGGCCUAUUUCAGGUAUUCUUAAUUUUUUGGGAAUUAGAUAGUGGUGAUAGUUACACAAUGUUGUGGACAUACCAAAAAGCGUUGAGUUGUGCACUUUUAUCAUAAGGAUACAUUUUAUGGUAAGUGAAUUAUAUGUUAAAAAAGAAACUCCUGGCUGGGUGUGGUGGCUCAACGCCUGUAAUCCCAGCACUUUGGGAGGUUGAGGCAGGAGUAGUGCUUGAGCUCAGGAGUUUGAGACCACCUGGGCAACAUGGCAAAACCCCAUCUCUACAAAACAUACAAAAACCAGCCAGGCGUGGUGGCAUCUGCCUGUAAUCCCAGCUACUCAGGAGGCUGAGGUAGGAGGAUCGCUUGAACCUGGGAGAUCGAGGCUGCAGUGAGCUGUGAUUGUGCCACUGCACUCUAGCCUGGGUGACAGAGCAAGACCCUGUCUCGAAAAAUAAAAAUAAAAAAGAUACUCCUAUUUGUCUGUACUGUGUACUAAAUGAGAAAAAAACUUUCAAUAUAUUUGUGCUAAGUUUUUAAAGCCACAUCAAUUGGCUCAAAGUCCUUAAUAAACAAUUAAGGUAUGAGAAUAGUACAUAGAUUUUAAAACCAAACGUAUAACAUUCUAAUUUUAAAAAAUAUUUUAAUGAUCAUCAGACAUAAUUUGCAAUUUGAAUCCAACUCUGAACAAGAACAAAAAUGAAAAAACCCAUCUCUUAAACAGAGCUAGGCUACUUUAAACACAGGAAUAAGGCAAAUGCCCUACUCAGUAAUGAGAAGCUCCUCAUGUAACUGUUUCUACAACAUAGCUAUCACCAGGCCUGAAUUCUUUUGGGCUCACAAUUUGUUCUAAGAAAUGGCUAUUAUUAAAAAGUCAGAAAAUAACAGAUGCUGGCGAGCCUGUGGAGAAAAGAGAAUGUAUAUACAUUUCUGAUGGGAAUGUAAAUUAGUUCAGCCAUUUAGAAAGUAGUUUGGUGAUUUCUCAAAUAACUUAAAACAGAAUUACCAUUUGACCUAGCAAUCCCAUUACUGAGUAUAUACCCAAAGGAAUAUAAAUUGUUCUACCAUAAAGUCACAUGCACACACAUGUUCAGUGCUGUACUAUUCACAAUAGCAAAGACAUGGAGUCAACCUAUAUGCCCAUCAACGGUAGACUGGAUAAAGAAAAUAUGGUACAUAUACACCAUGGAAUACUACACAGCCGUAAAAAGAAUGAGCUUAUGUCCUUUGCAGUAACACAGCUGAAGCAAACUAACACAGGAAUGGAAAACCAAAUACUGCAUAUUCUCACUUAUAAGUGGGAGCUAAACAUUGAGUACACAUGGACACAAAGAAAGGAAUAGACGCCUGGGACGUACUUGAGGUUGGAGGUGAGAGGAGGGUGAGGAUAGAAAAACUACCUAUCAGGUACUAUGCUUAUUACCUGGGUGAUGAAAUAAUCUGUACACCAAACUCCCAAGAUAUGCAAUGUACCUAUACAAUAAACCUAUAUAUGUACCCCUGAACACAAAAUAAAAGUUAAAAAAAGAAUUUGCUUUAAGAGUUAACUUUUAAGAUGUCAAUAUCCCAAGUGGGCAGUUAUUUUCCACUGUCUUUAGUCCCUAACUUUUGGUACAGGUCCACUUUCUAGCAAAGAGUAGAGCACAGAAUGUAUCAGAAACAUGGAUAGAUAAGUUGGGUGGAGGGGUCCGUUUGGAGCUGGGGCUCAUAGCCUGGGGACAGAAGGGAGUAUCGAUCAGUUCCUUCCACGGGUAUGCAAAGCACCCUAAAUUGCCUUAAUAAUAAUGAACACAGCGUGAUACAUUUAUAGCCAAAUAUUUAUGUGGCGGCAUUUCUCUUUGGUUUAAGUAUCUUGAGAACAGUCACAGCCCUGAGUACUGACAUCAU
rnacentral:lncRNA from 1 species